AUGCAUGCACCUUCACCGCCUGCAGAGGAAAUGGAAAGAGAGGUGGAGCUGGUGCAGGCUUUCCAGGCCGUGGAGGCGGCCGCGCAGAGGUUCUUCGUCACGUACCAACAGGUCGUGGCGGUGGUGUGUGCCACGAUGGAGGCGUCGGGCAAACGGGCGCUGUUCGUGCCAGCGUGCUCCACAUUCUGGUUUGACAUGUAUGUUAUUUUUCUCAAUGAGAACGGUGUUAAAUUAGAUUACUCAGAAUCCCGGUUUUGGCCAUGUAUGUGCAUUUUAAACGUUUGUUUAUAUAUGAACCAAAAACUGAGGUGA
rnacentral:rRNA from 1 species